UACGAGGGGGUCAAGUGUUGUUCGGAAUCACUGGGCGUAAAGGGCGCGUAGGCGGGCUCUUAAGUUGGAUGUUUAAAACCGGGGCCCAACCCCGGCGUGGCAUCCAAAACUGGGAGUCUUGAAUGGAACAGAGGCUAGUGGAAUUGGAGGUGUAGCGGUGGAAUGCGUAGAGAUCUCCAAGAACACCCGUUGCGAAGGCGGCUAGCUGGGUUCACAUUGACGCUGAGGCUCGAAAGCGUGGGGAGCAAACAGG
rnacentral:rRNA from 1 species